GUGGGGAAUCUUCCGCAAUGGGCGAAAGCCUGACGGAGCAACGCCGCGUGAGUGAUGACGGCCUUCGGGUUGUAAAGCUCUGUUAUAUGGGACGAACGGGCAUGGGGCCAAUACCCUCAUGCAGUGACGGUACCGUAAGAGAAAGCCACGGCUAACUACGUGCCAGCAGCCGCGGUAAUACGUAGGUGGCAAGCGUUGUCCGGAAUUAUUGGGCGUAAAGGGCGUGUAGGCGGCCAGACAAGUCUGUCUUAAAAGUGCGGGGCUCAACCCCGGGAUGGGAUGGAAACUGUCGGGCUAGAGUGUCGGAGAGGAAAGCGGAAUUCCUAGUGUAGCGGUGAAAUGCGUAGAUAUUAGGAGGAACACCGGUGGCGAAAGCGGCUUUCUGGACGACAACUGACGCUGAGGCGCGAAAGCCAGGGGAGCAAACGGGAUUAGAAACCCCAGUAGUCC
rnacentral:rRNA from 1 species